GGAGUGUCAGUAAAACCCAGUCAGAAUUACUGUCUUCUGAACUCCAUGCGAGAAAACUCCAUUACUCUGACUCUGUUGGAUCUUCCACCAGAUUUACUCUGUCGCUCUCUGAGACUCCAUGUAACAGCAACUGCAUUUUAAUGCAAUGGCAACUACGAAAACCACAAAACUAUCAGUCAUUGUCAAAUACUUCAUAAAUGGAGACAGAGAAGGGGUUCAGUUCUCUGUGUAACAAGGACAGAGGAGAAAGGCAUCUGCAGUGUCAAAUCUACAGAGACAAGUGCACCUGGAGACAAAUGACCAGACUACCAUAAAACAGAAGCCUAAUUAUGUUCACUUACAUUUCAAAUCAUUCCCAACAAAUUACCCUGAAAACUAUAUAAGUUGAAAAAUUGGCAAAAAAAUCUGAAUAGACACCUCGCCAAAGAAGAUAUACCAAUGGCAAAGAAGCUAUGAAGAUAUGAUGAACAUUAUGUCAUUAAAGAAUUGCAAAGUAAAACAAUGAUGCAACACUACUACAUGCAUAUUAUAAUGGUGAAAAUCCAAACACUGCUAACAUCAAAUGCUGAUGAAGAUGUGGAACAGGAGAAACUGUCAUUCAUUGCUGGUGGGAAUACAAAAUGGUACAGCC